GGAGAAUGUUAUCACGGGAGACACACGGCGGGUGCUAACGUCCGUCGUGAAGAGGGAAACAACCCAGACCGCCAGCUAAGGUCCCAAAGUCAUGGUUAAGUGGGAAACGAUGUGGGAAGGCCCAGACAGCCAGGAUGUUGGCUUAGAAGCAGCCAUCAUUUAAAGAAAGCGUAAUAGCUCACUGGUCGAGUCGGCCUGCGCGGAAGAUGUAACGGGGCUAAACCAUGCACCGAAGCUGCGGCAGCGACGCUGAUGCGUUGUUGGGUAGGGGAGCGUUCUGUAAGCCUGCGAAGGUGUGCUGUGAGGCAUGCUGGAGGUAUCAGAAGUGCGAAUGCUGACAUAAGUAACGAUAAAGCGGGUGAAAAGCCCGCUCGCCGGAAGACCAAGGGUUCCUGUCCAACGUUAAUCGGGGCAGGGUGAGUCGACCCCUAAGGCGAGGCCGAAAGGCGUAGUCGAUGGGAAACAGGUUAAUAUUCCUGUACUUGGUGUUACUGCGAAGGGGGGACGGAGAAGGCUAUGUUGGCCGGGCGACGGUUGUCCCGGUUUAAGCGUGUAGGCUGGUUUUCCAGGCAAAUCCGGAAAAUCAAGGCUGAGGCGUGAUGACGAGGCACUACGGUGCUGAAGCAACAAAUGCCCUGCUUCCAGGAAAAGCCUCUAAGCAUCAGGUAACAUCAAAUCGUACCCCAAACCGACACAGGUGGUCAGGUAGAGAAUACCAAGGCGCUUGAGAGAACUCGGGUGAAGGAACUAGGCAAAAUGGUGCCGUAACUUCGGGAGAAGGCACGCUGAUAUGUAGGUGAAGCGACUUGCUCGUGGAGCUGAAAUCAGUCGAAGAUACCAGCUGGCUGCAACUGUUUAUUAAAAACACAGCACUGUGCAAACACGAAAGUGGACGUAUACGGUGUGACGCCUGCCCGGUGC
rnacentral:rRNA from 1 species